UUUUUUUCAUCAGAUACAAUACAGUGGAGUGUAUUAAUGUGGAAGCUCUGUAGAGGAUAAGCAUGAAAAAGAGCAGUACUUUUGCCUUUCCAUUUCUUUAUGUUUCCUUUUCUCUCCUAGCUACCUAGAUUAUAGUUCUCGUUUUGUGGGGGAUUCAGUUUCAAAUGUAAAAAUCUGGUAAAUUUCCUCCACCCACCGUUCUUGAAUUCUUAAAAUCUUCUCUCUCUCUCUCUCUCUCUCUCUCUGCUGUAAUGAUAUUGUGAUUUUACUGUUCCAGUUUGAUUCUUUCUAACAGUAUGCUAUUUGAUCUGAAUAUAUUCUAUUCCUUCCCAUUUUGAUCCGUUUAUCUGGAGACUUCUGGCCUUACCCAACCCCAUGGUUUGAUUCGCUAGUCAAAUUUCUUGCUACUUUUUUGUGGGUUUGUUUUGGUUCACAAAAUUUGUUCUUAGCUUGUAAUCUCGAGAUAUGAAAACAAUGAAGACCUGUCUUUGUGGGUUAAUUUGCUUUGUGCUAGUGGGAUUUCUGGUUUGACUGGAGUUUUUCUUCCGUAUGUUUGCAUACAGAAACAAGGCUUUUGCUUUGCUGCUAGGCUUUCGCUUGUUGAGGGUUUGCACUUAAUUAGGGGGUCAAUGAUGUCUAGUUCAUAUUCAAACCUCUUAGAGCUUGCCUCCGGCGAGGUUCCGUCGCCGUCUUUUAGCCGGAUAGGUCGGCGAAUUCCCCGGGUUAUGACAGUACCCGGAAUAAUGUCAGAUCUCGACGAUGACCCGUCGGAGAGUGUGUGCUCCGACCGUUCAUCGUCGUCGGUCCAACGGGACCGGAUAAUCAUAGUAGCCAAUCAGCUGCCGAUUAAGGUUUCGCGAAAACCCGGGAACGGGAGGGGGUGGAAUUUUAGUUUGGAUGAUAACUCACUCCUCCUCCAGUUGAAAGAUGGGUUGGGUGAUGAUGACAUGGAAGUUAUAUAUGUGGGUUGUCUUAAGGAAGAUAUACACCCAAAUGAGCAAGAUGAGGUCUCUCAGAAUCUCCUUGAGAAUUUCAAGUGUGUACCCACUUUUAUACCCCCUGAUAUGUUCAGUAGAUACUACCAUGAGUUUUGCAAACAACAGUUAUGGCCAUUGUUUCACUACAUGUUGCCCCUUUCACCCGAUUUAGGCGGUAGGUUCAACCGGUUGUUAUGGCAAGCUUACGUGUCUGUCAAUAAGAUUUUCGCGGAUCGGAUCAUGGAAGUGAUUAAUCCGGAAGAUGAUUACGUGUGGGUACAUGACUAUCACCUUAUGGUGUUACCCACCUUCUUGAGGAAGCGAUUCAACCGGGUGAAACUAGGGUUUUUCCUCCAUAGCCCUUUUCCGUCAUCCGAGAUUUACAAGACUUUACCCGUCAGGGAAGAGCUUCUGAGAGCUAUGUUGAAUGCCGACUUGAUUGGAUUUCAUACCUUCGAUUAUGCCCGGCAUUUUCUCUCCUGUUGUAGCCGAAUGUUGGGUCUUUCUUACGAAUCCAAACGGGGUUAUAUAGGCCUAGAGUAUUAUGGUCGGACGGUGAGUAUCAAAAUUCUUCCGGUGGGUAUCCACAUGGGCCAACUUCAAUCUGUUUUGAGCCUUUCGGAGACAGAAGCAAAGGUUUCCGACCUCUGCAAGCAGUUUGGUGAGAAAGAUAGGAUAUUGUUGCUUGGGGUUGAUGAUAUGGACAUAUUUAAAGGAAUCAGUUUGAAGUUAUUGGCCAUGGAACAACUUCUCACUCAGCACCCAGAGUUGCAAGGGAAGGUUGUUUUGGUGCAGAUAGCAAAUCCAGCAAGGGGGAUCGGCAAAGACGUGAGAGAAGUUAAACAGGAGACGUAUUCCACUGUUGAACGAAUUAACGGCAAGUUUGGUAAACCUGGAUAUGAGCCGGUGGUGCUGAUCGAUGAGAACCUAAAGUUUUAUGAGAGAAUUGCUUAUUAUGUAGUUGCAGAAUGUUGUUUGGUCACAGCAGUUAGAGACGGAAUGAAUCUAAUUCCGUAUGAAUACAUAAUAAGCCGCCAAGGAAACGAGAAAUUAGAUAAGGUCUUGGGGUUGGAUCCCAAUACUCCCAAGAAGAGCAUGUUGGUUGUGUCUGAAUUCAUUGGGUGUUCCCCAUCUUUGAGUGGAGCGAUUAGAGUGAAUCCAUGGAAUAUCGAUGCAGUGGCGGAUGCAAUGGACGGUGCUUUGGUAAUGGAGGAACCAGAAAAACAACUCAGGCACGAAAAGCACUAUAGGUAUGUGAGUACCCACGAUGUCGGUUAUUGGGCCCGCAGUUUUCUUCAGGAUUUGGAAAGGACUUGUAAAGAUCACAUGCAGAGGAGGUCAUGGGGUAUUGGGUUUGGAUUGAGUUUUAGGGUUGUUGCGCUAGAUCCAAAUUUUAGGAAGCUGUCGAUGGAGCACAUAGUUUCUGCUUACAAAAGGACUAAAAUUAGGGCAAUCCUUUUAGACUACGAUGGUACAUUGAUGCCUCAGGCUUCAAUUGAUAAGAGUCCGAGCUCUAAAACCAUUAAGAUUUUAAACAGUUUAUGCAGGGAUAAGAAUAAUAUGGUUUUCAUAGUCAGUGCCAGAAGCCGUGACAAACUUGCCGAAUGGUUUGCCCCCUGUGAUAAUCUGGGAAUUGCUGCAGAGCAUGGAUAUUUCAUUAGGCUGAAGCGAGAUGAGGAAUGGGAAACAUGUGUACCAGUGGUAGAAUGUAGCUGGAAGCAGAUUGCAGAACCGGUUAUGGCGCUUUACACUGAGACAACAGACGGGUCCACAAUUGAAGAUAGGGAAACUUCAUUGGUCUGGUGUUAUGAGGAUGCGGAUCCUGAUUUUGGGUCUUGCCAAGCUAAGGAACUUCUUGAUCAUCUUGAAAGCGUGCUUGCCAAUGAACCAGUUACAGUCAAAAGCGGGCAAAAUAUCGUAGAGGUUAAACCACAGGUAUGAGUAACUACUUUCCUAUUCAUUCGUUUUGUUUCUCUUAUUUUGUAUAUGUGAAUUGAGAAAAGCCGAAUAUCCUCAUUUUGACUUUUCUCAAUCGUUGAUUUGAGCAAACAAGGGGUUAGUUGCGUUUCCAUGAUUUCAAGUUGGUGUAGCUUAUAUGUUCAUAUUGUGUUUCGUGUAUCUCUCAUGUACUUCGUCUUGUCUAGUGUUUUUUUCACGACUUUACCGUAUUGUGUGGAAGCGAUACAUUACCAGAUUCUGAAGCAAUUUAUGAAAGAAGAUUUUGUAUGGAAUAUUAUUUGAGUGUGGAGGAUGUUUAUCUAAUUUCUAUGGGUAAACGUGUGUCUGAACUUUUCUUGUUGAAGAAAGGUGGAUGAUGCUAUGUUACCAAUGAUGGCAGCCAUGGUAAAUGCUUCACUUGAGCCUGACCCUUAAAUUGGGUUGGGAAUUUGGAACCCAACCUCCUUUUAUGUGCAAGAUCAAGUUAAGUUUGAGCAUUACUUAGUUGGACUACGUGUACUUUAAUCAACAGUGAAGAGUUUUGGCACUAUACUAUUUUGCAACAGUUUUGAACCUAUUUUUUGCCACCCCGAAGAGUUGUGGAACUGCAUUUAGCAGUGUCAUUUCAGUUCAUGUUUUUCACCGCUCUUGGGCAUGCUUUUAAGCCUAUUGUGAACAUGUUCUUCGUGUGAGAGCUUUUGCUUGUUACAUCCUUCAUUGAGUCUAUAAUGGUUAAGCCAAAAGGAAAUAAUGAAAGGAUUUAUUAUGGUUCUGAAUGUAAGCAAAGGGCUAGUGGCAAAACGCCUACUUUCUACCAUGCAAGAGAGGGGAAUGUUAGCCGAUUUAGUCCUGUGCAUAGGAGACGACCAGUCUGAUGAAGACAUUGCGGUCAUAUAUUUCAAACUGGGAGAGAAAGGGGUAGACAGGAUGGAAAGGCAAACCCCCUAUGGGAUCUUCAUCAAGACAUGUUUGAGGUGAUUACCAGUUCCGUAGAUGGCCCAUCUAUAGUUCCGAAUGCAGAAGUGUUUGCCUGUAUUGUUUGUAAAAAACCCAGUAAGGCCAAGUAUUAUCUCGAUGACUCGGUGAAAAUUGUGAGGCUAAUGCAGGGAUUGGCCUCUGUCUCUGACCAAACACCACACAUGUAUAGCCUUCACUAAGGUAAGAGGUGAAAAAAUGUCACUUGAUGAUAUAUUUCGGCGGUGGAUGGUGUUGUUCAAAUCUAUUGCUUCCGUUUCCAUUUUCUUUGUUGUUAGUUGUAAAUAUGUUGUGCUACUUAGAGAACCUCUCCACAUUUUGGGACUUUUUUCUUGCGUUUGAUCUCUAUCUGGUGAAGUUGUACAUCUAUAAUUGCUCUG